rnacentral:lncRNA from 1 species
UCCAUAAAUCAACACCUUACGGAGAUCGAAUUAGAGGAUCAAAUUUGAGAGAGAUUGUAACCCAAAAUCAUCAAAUACAAAUAUUAUUUUGUGCACGUUGUUCUUGUCUCCUUCGUUUCAAGAUUAUUUCGUGUUUACACCCCCUUUACCUUGUUGAGUCAUAUUAGUUAGAAACUGAUUUAGUUUGUGUUUCUAAGUAUUUCGAACCAAGUUAAAACCAAAAUUCGUCCAAAAGUGUGUUUAGAGUCCAAAUCUGCCCAGUUUGUGUUUUUAGGCAGAUUUGAGCGUUUUUAGCUUGUUUUGAGUUCUUUGAGUUUGUUUUGAAUUCUUUGAGUCUAGUUUAGUGUUUUUAACUUUGUUUAUAUGUUUUUAAGUCAGUUUAGAGGUUAUUAGCAAGCCCUCAUAAUCCCUGGUCCAGAAUGAUCCCUACUUACAUUCUUUACUACAAUUGAUACAAGAGGGUUUUAAUUUGUGUGUUAAGUAAAUUUUCGCACCAAAUUUUUAGCGCCGUUGCCGGGGAUUAGCAACUUUGCUAAUCCCUUGUUAUUUCUUUUUGUAUAUUUUCGUGUCUUUUGUUUUUAGUUACUGACUUUGUUUCUGUUUGUGUUUUUUUGUUUGUUUGUUUUACUUUUGAUAUUUGAUUUAGUUUUGUUUCCUUGAUUUCAGGUACUAGAGAAGUAAGACAUGGAUUUUGCUACCAUUCCAGCUGAAUUGGGGAAACUUACUUCUCAAUUGUCACAAUAUGCCGAAAGGACCACAAUGCAAAGUGUCCCUACAUAUGGUGUGUCCUAUUGGCAAGGAUAUCCAACUCAUCAAUGUUCUCAAUUCGCUGCGAAUGAAGAUGCUUG